UUGCCCGGCCGGUACAGUAGGCGGGUCGUAUCACACCCGUACGGGGGGAAGCCGGUGUAAAUCCGGCGCUGACCCGCAACCGUGUGCAGCCUGGGUAUUGGUCGGGGCUGUGAGCCGGAUUGCCCCGUGCGGAUCGUGACCGGCU
rnacentral:ncRNA from 2 species